GGUUGCGAUCAUACCAGCACUAAUGCACCGGAUCCCAUCUGAACUCCGCUGUUAAGCGUGCUUGGGCGAGAGUAGUACUAGGAUGGGUGACCCCCUGGGAAGUCCUCGUGUUGCAACCC
rnacentral:rRNA from 1 species